UACGUAGGGUGCAAGCGUUAAUCGGAAUCACUGGGCGUAAAGCGCACGUAGGCGGAUUGCUAAGUCAGGGGUGAAAUCCUGGAGCUCAACUCCAGAACUGCCUUUGAUACUGGCGAUCUUGAGUCCGGGAGAGGUGAGUGGAACUGCGAGUGUAGAGGUGAAAUUCGUAGAUAUUCGCAAGAACACCAGUGGCGAAGGCGGCUCACUGGCCCGAUACUGACGCUGAGGUGCGAAAGCGUGGGGAGCAAACAGG
rnacentral:rRNA from 1 species